UGCAUAUGGAGCAAGUCGACCUUCAUCAA
rnacentral:sRNA from 1 species